CAAUUUAACGUUGACUCCGAUCAUGCAUUUGUUAAACAUGGAUACAUUUUACUUUCUCAGCUUGGUGUUUUCGGCCAUUGUCAUUAAAGGUGCGUGUGAGCGGUGUUACGAGUGCACCACGCUGCGGGAUGGGAAGGUGUGUGGCGACAUGUUCAUAGCUUCCACCGCCCACAACCUCAACAUGUCCACUCCCGCCGACUGCCUUACGUGCGGCAAGAUAGCCUUUUUUCUAGGCAGGGUGAAAGUGGUAGCGCGGAUCUGUGAGCGGCAGUGGCAGGCGACGGCCUGCGACCACAGCCCGGCUACAAACAACCGGAGAUCCCCCAACGAGUGCUACUGCAACUCAGAUCUCUGCAACACUUCCGGCCGCCUGGUUGCCUCCACGGGGACGUUCGCAAUUCAUAUUAUUUUCGGAUUUGCCUACUUGAAGUUCCUUUACUGAUGAUAUAUGACCAGUAAUCUAUUUCACCACACGUCCGUUCUCAUUAUUUUCACAAUCGGGAAGACAGUGGUCGUAUAUUUCAACGCUAAAAAUACACGGAUUUAAAGACAUUUUAUUUUAUUUUUCUCUUCAUCACAAUAGUUACAAAUUACUUAUCAAAGCGCUGGAAAAAACUUGAGGUAUUUACUGCAUUGACACAAGUGAUCAUACAUUUGAAUGAAAGGCCGGUAUUCUAUGUUCACGAUUUCCGCAUCCGUAUUCUGCACAUGUUUUACACAUCAUUAUUUCAAAACGGACGCCGUGUGAAUGCGGAUUGGAUGCGUGUGGCAGGAUCCGGACAUAUGGAAUAGAUUAAACGGUGUAAAGCAACAAACCCCUAACGCUGCUGUAUAUGGUGAGCUUGAAAGAUUCCCUUUAUCCAUUUUAUUCAAGGAACGAUCUGUUAAAUUUUGGUUAAAAGUAAAGAAAAAUGUAAAUUCACCAAUACAUAUGGUAUAUAAUGAUUUGAAUGCUAAUAUAAAUAAUUCUUCUUGGGCAAAGAGAAUAAAUUCCAUUAUUGAUCAUCUUGGUUUUAUGGAUGUAAGACUAAACUUCGAUGUAAACAUAAAUUAUCUUCCUCUACUUAAAUGUAGAAUUCGUGAUCAGUUUAUUCAAGAAUGGAAUGCUUCUAUAAAUAGUAUGCCAAACCUUUCAUUGUAAUAUAAACUUAAAGAAAACUUUUCUUUUGAAAAUUAUCUUGUACAAAUUAAAAAUGAUAGACUAAGAAAAUAU